CCACCUCCCCCCCAAGAAGUAUUCACCUACCCUCCCAGAACAGCGCCCCGGCACACAGCAACUCUCACCUGGGUAUCGAACCCGUUUUCCACCGAGCCGCUCUUCCGCAGCGGGAGCCCCUCCCCCGCCGGCUCCUGCAGCGCCUGGGAUUUCAGGGGGAUCUGGCUAGGGGUGGACAGCCCACCAAUUAAAAUCUCAACGUUGACAGCCCUUCUCUCUUCUUCGUCUAACUCUAAACUUUCCAGCUCACCCACAUGUCAGUGAUGGGCCAAUUUGAAACUUGUCCUGAAGCUCUCAAGAUCACUGAAGCAUCCUGAGUUGGGACAGUUCCCUGGUUCUAAGCCAUCCGCACAUCAGGAAGGGCCAGCUGUACCGCUUUCUGAUCCUCAGCGUCAGCCACUGGUGAUUAGUUGAGUGUGAAUUGGGCUUCAGAGCUGACCUGCAAGUGACCAGCCUCAUCAACGCAUCCUUCAUCUGAGUGAAAGCCCCUCGCUGUGCCUGACCUCCCAAGAAGACGGUCCUGUGAAGAAACUGAAACAUCGAAACCCAAGCCUCUCGCACAAAAAUGGAAGGAUCUUAAGAAAAAGUCAGCAGCCUCUUGGAAACCCUUGACUAGAAAUGAUGAAGGGAAAUGUUGUAAGUCUCUGGAGUAAUAUAAAGCAUUCAUGAGUUUACUUGGGAGUAAAUAAAAUCACACUAGCUUAUUUUCAAAAA